rnacentral:rRNA from 1 species
AGCUUGGAAGCAGCUAUUCAUUCAAAGAGUGCGUAACAGCUCACUAGUCGAGCGACAGAGCGUGGAUAAUAAACGGGUAUCAAGCAUAUCACCGAAGUUCUGGACACGCAAGUGUGGUAGGGGAGCAUUCCAUUCAGCGUCGAAGCAGUGUCGUGAGACAUUGUGGAGCGUAUGGAAAAGCAAAUGUAGGCAUAAGUAACGACAAUGCGGGCGAGAAACCCGCACACCGCAAGACCAAGGUUUCCUGAUCAACGCUAAUCGGAUCAGGGUUAGUCGGGUCCUAAGGUUAAGCCGCUAGGCGAUAUCGAUGGACAAUCGGUUAAUAUUCCGAUACUGACAUACACCUCGAUGGAGGGACGAAGGAACGUAAGUGACGCGAACUGACGGAAUAGUUCGUUAAAGGCCGUAGGUAAAUCUUCUGAUUAAGAGUUAGGAGAUGCUGAAAGCUGACAGUACCGAGAGUCUUCGGACAAUCGGAUAGUUCACCCAAGUAGACUUCCGAGAAAAUCUUCUAAGUUAUAGUGUAUGUCACCCGUACCGUAAACCGACACAGGUGGUCGAGGAGAGUAUCCUAAGGUGCUCGAGUGAAUCACGGUUAAGGAACUAGGCAAAUUAACCCCGUAACUUCGGGAAAAGGGGUCCCUAUGAAAGUAGGGCGCAGCGAAGAGGUCCAGGCGACUGUUUAUCAAAAACACAGGGCUCUGCAAAUUCGAAAGAAGACGUAUAGGGCCUGACACCUGCCCGGUGCUGGAAGGUUAAGAGGGGAUGUCAUCGCAAGAGAAGCAUUGAAUCGAAGCCCCAGUAAACGGCGGCCGUAACUAUAACGGUCCUAAGGUAGCGAAAUUCCUUGUCGGGUAAGUUCCGACCUGCACGAAUGGUGUAACGAUCUGGACACUGUCUCAACCGUGAGCUCGGUGAAAUUGUAGUCCCGGUGAUGAUGCCGGGUACCCGCAACGGGACGAAAAGACCCCGUGAACCUUUACUAUAGCUUAACGCUGAAUUUGGGUACACAAUGUGUAGGAUAGGCCGGAGGCUUUGAAGCGGGCACGCCAGUGUUCGUGGAGCCGACGUUGAAAUACGGCCCUUUGUGUAUUUGAGUUCUAACCCUUCGAAGGGGACACCGUUUGGUGGGUAGUUUGACUGGGGUGGUCGCCUCCAAAAGCGUAACGGAGGCUUCCCAAGGUACCCUCAGCACGAAUGGUAACCGUGCGCGGAGUGCAAUAGCAUAAGGGUGCUUGACUGUGAGACAUACAAGUCGACCAGGUACGAAAGUAGGGUAUAGUGAUCCGGUGGUUCUGCGUGGACUGGCCAUCGCUCAAAGGAUAAAAGGUACUCCGGGGAUAACAGGCUGAUCGCCGCCAAGAGCUCAUAUCGACGCGGCGGUUUGGCACCUCGAUGUCGGCUCGUCACAUCCUGGGGCUGGAGAAGGUCCCA